ensembl:piRNA 21ur-6299 ncRNA
UUCAGAUGUUAGAUAGGUGAA